GACCCCAUCGUCCAGUCUGGCCCAGGACACCGGUCUUUCAAGCCGGCAACGCGGGUUCAAAUCCCGCUAGGGUCA
rnacentral:tRNA from 1 species